GGCUGCGUGUGUGAGAGAGGGCGGGAAACCUGAGUGGCUAAAUCCGGUUUAUUUGAUACAAUAGUGGCAUACAAAAAGUGAGACACCAUGGCUAAGGCAUGGAAAGGCUGGAAUCCUAAACACUUUUUCUUUAUUUUUAAAGUGUAUUUCAUUUAUUCUCCCCUGGAAAAAAAAGGCUACAGCGGUGGCUACAUUUCAUCAGCAUGUCAACGUAUUAUCACCACUGGAUAUAUAGCCUACAGAUGCCUGCCUCGUCACCAAGCGAGUAAGAUAUUUCUCAUCAAAUGCGGCUGGUCUGAGGGACAUCACUUGGAAUGUAGCAUCCAGUGAGGCAUAGAGGAUUGUCAGAGGCAGGCCGGCCCCCAGCAGACAGACGACGAGGACGGUGGUGGUCCUCAACAAGCUGCCGCCGCAUCAGGUUUAUCCUGUACUACAGUGACAUAGUCCAGUUUUCCUGUCUCUGACAUUGUGGAGGUGUGCACAGUGGAAAGAACAUGGACAUCGCGUUUGUCGUGCCAUUUCACUGCCAUUAUCUCCCCGUUUGUUUGGAACUCCACUCCACUUCCACCUCCCCCUUACUCAUUUUCUAUUUGAAUACUGGCAUCCCCUUCCUGUUGGAUCUCACUGUGCCACAGGCCCCUGUGUUCUCCCUCAAAAGGUACUGGAAAAGGGUAGGCUACUGUACCAGUUGUCCACAAAUACAUUUUGUGCCCUUUCUGAGGUAAGGCUGCAGCAUGGUGAUCACCAAGACCCUCAAAAUGCCUUAUAUCUGUGGUGGCGCCGGUGUAGAUGAUCAGGUCCUGUACAUAUUCUGUCAGACAUUCACAUAAAACAAAGAACUUGACUCCAAAUCUGUGGUGCUUUGAUGGGAUGUAUUGGCGGAAUGCAAGCCAUCCUUUUCAAGCCAUGAGAGACUUAUCAAUGCACAAGUUCUUGUCAGGAACAAACACUUUCAAAUGCCCUGGUGAAGCUACCCAAGACAUUUCUAAUUUUGUGAAGGGGAACUGCGAGGUUGGCAGUAGCGUUCUUCACAAAGUGGAGUGCUCUCAGCAAGACAAAGAAGUGGUCCUGGUAGAAAAGGGUCAGGAAAAAGGGGUCUGCAGCAUGGGGUCAGUGGUCCAGUAGUCCAUCACAGAGCACUUCUUCACUAGCCCCAUCAGCAGCACCGUGAUGAGGAAGGUAUACAUUUCACUGAUGGCAGUGUCCACCCAUUUUGAGAGCUUCCCUUUCAUGCCAGGGGCAGUCUUCUCUUUCAGUUCAUGAGAAUACCUGCAAACAAAUAUGAAUAUUUAGUAGGCCAAAGGCAUUCUGAAUUUUGAUACAUUUGAAGAGCCUUGGGUUUUUCUGUAAUAUAAAAAUGGGCAUAGCUGUUUUGUUUGCUGCACCACACUCCACCAAUUCCUCUUCCCCUGAGGAGGGUAGGCAAGGUGCUUUGUAAACCAGACAGGUUGUCAUUGAAGUCUGUCUCUGAUGGUGUGAAGUGACAGGAUCUCCAGCAGCGGGGAACAUCCUCCUCAACUUCAACCUCGUCUCCCUCACAGCCUACAGCAUCUUGGGGAGGUGAAGAUGUUCAUUGCCUGCAAGGUUGGGUGGCACCAUUUUCCUGGACUGUGAGCAUGAGAAGUUCGGGGGGCAGAUAUUCCUUUUCACUAUCUCAUUGAUCCGACUCACUGUUAUGCACAGAUUCUUCAUCAGAAUAAGUAAAUAUUUCUCCUCAUCAGUGAGGCAUUUCCUUUUGAAAUUGGAGAUAAUCGCUAUACUCAAUGGCUAUCUAUCAGUGUCUGUCAAGGGUUACGUUUUCUGUCAGGACUGACUUAGAUUGUAACUAUGGUUACUCUGGAUUGCUAUAUCAGACCCUGAUAAGGGAAUUUAUAUGUUUAAAGUAAUGACUAAAGGAUUCCACCCUGAAAUCAUAUAAAUGUAUGAAACAUGUUAAGAGUCAUAAUUCCAUAAUAUGUGUGACUAGAACAUUGUAUUACUAUGUAGUAAUGUGGGACAAG
rnacentral:lncRNA from 1 species